rnacentral:rRNA from 1 species
CCUACGGGAGGCAGCAGUGGGGAAUCUUGCACAAUGGGGGAAACCCUGAUGCAGCGACGCCGCGUGAGCGAUGAAGCCCUUCGGGGUGUAAAGCUCUUUCGGCAGGGAAGACUACAGACGGUACCUGCAGAAGCAGCUGCGGCUAACUACGUGCCAGCAGCCGCGGUAAUACGUAGGCAGCGAGCGUUGUUCGGAGUUACUGGGCGUAAAGGGUGUGUAGGCGGUUCUCCAAGUUUGGUGUGAAAUCUCCCGGCUCAACCGGGAGGGUGCGCCGAAAACUGGGGGGCUUGAGUGCGGAAUGGGAGAGUGGAAUUCCUGGUGUAGCGGUGAAAUGCGUAGAUAUCAGGAGGAACACCGGUGGUGAAGACGGCUCUCUGGACCGUAACUGACGCUGAGACACGAAAGCGUGGGUAGCAAACAGGAUUAGAUACCCUGGUAGU